rnacentral:misc_RNA from 1 species
CAGAUUGAUGCUGUGUAUUCAGCGAUGAAAGCGUUGGGUUAUGCUGACGUGGACAUCGUUGUGGCGGAAACUGGGUGGCCUUCUGCCGGUGACCCGAAUCAACCAGGUGUGAGUUUGGAGAACGCUAUUUCGUACAAUGUGAACCUCGUGAAGCACGUAAACUCCGGUGUAGGAACGCCAUUGAUGCCAAACAGGACCUUUGAAACUUACGUUUUCUCCCUAUUCAAUGAGGACCUUAAACCUAG